AUUGAACGCUGGCGGCAUGCCUUACACAUGCAAGUCGAACGGCAGCGCGGGAGCAGUCCUGGCGGCGAGUGGCGAACGGGUGAGUAAUAUAUCGGAACGUGCCCAGUAGCGGGGGAUAACGCAGCGAAAGCUGUGUUAAUACCGCAUACGCACUACGGUGGAAAGAGGGGGAUCGCAAGACCUCUCACUAUUGGAGCGGCCGAUAUCAGAUUAGCUUGUUGGCGGGGUAAAAGCCCACCAAGGCGACGAUCUGUAGCUGGUUUGAGAGAACGACCAGCCACACUGGGACUGAGACACGGCCCAGACUCCUACGGGAGGCAGCAGUGGGGAAUUUUGGACAAUGGGCGCAAGCCUGAUCCAGCCAUGCCGCGUGCGGGAAGAAGGCCUUCGGGUUGUAAACCGCUUUUGUUCGGGAAGAAAUUGACUGGGCUAAUACCCUGGUCGGAUGACGGUACCGGAAGAAUAAGCACCGGCUAACUACGUGCCAGCAGCCGCGGUAA
rnacentral:rRNA from 1 species